UCUAGGAUGUGUUAUUUUAGUGUUCCCUUAAUUUUUUUGAGCAGUGUACAUUGUGUGGAAUGCAAGAAGUCGUGAAAGACUUGAUUGAGAAGCUUGCUGACAGUGAAUCAUUCAAGGACCAAAAUGACAAUCUAUCCCAAGAACACCAAGAUCAGGUGCAGUGCCUCUCAAAACAACUAACUUCAGCUGUCUCUCUACAGUAGGCAAUUAAUUUAGGUAAUUUGUCCUUCAGAUAAGGCAACUGUGAGGAGCUUGAGUCUGUGCGAUCUGAGUGAGAUAAUCUCCUGUCUGAGAAGACAGACAGUCCUCAGAAUCAUGCAGAGGAGUUGGUGCUCUCUACUGUGACCUCCCCGACUGAAGAGAGAGACCAGCUCCAGGAGAUACUGGGUGGAGUCAGAGAGGAGAGGAACCAGCUGAAGAGAGACCUGGAGGAGAAUGUGGAGAUGGUGAUUAGUAACUGUUGUAUCCUUAGGAAGGUCAUUUUGUUUGAGAAAAAUUGGAGCAUCAAGCUGUGAACGGGGAUGCAAGAGGAAUAUGCCAUUUUCACAUAAUACGCGUCCAGGCAGAGUUAAAACGGCAACAUCUGAUCUCAGAACAGCAGACGUGGCCAACAAGAUGAUCAACUUCAGCAACAAAUACAGGAACUAGAUGCUGCAUUGGAGACCAUGAACGAGGAAAGUAGUCAGUUGAACAGUGACCUACAGCAAAAUAUGUAGAUGGCUGCAGACUCGUGGGCGUCUCUGUUCCAUCCAAGAAAAGCUCCGACAACAGAGACAACUGAACUCUGACCUCAAUGACCAAAGUUUAUAGGAGUCUCUCCUAGAAUAGCAGGUUCAUUUCUUUGACGGUUUGAUUUUUCUUCAAUUGUUUAGUAAUAAUACAAUUAGAUCAUAGCUGCUUCUCCUAUGAGGAGAAAAAAGAUGAGUGAGGAGCUUGAGUCUGUGUGAGCUGAGCGAGAGCGUCUUCUGUCUGAGAAUACAGACAGCCCUCAAAAUCAUGCAGAGGAGUUGGUGCUCUCUACUGUGACCUCACUAACUGGAGAGAGACCAGCUCCAGGAGAUACUGGGGGAAGUCAGAGAGGAGAGGAACCAGCUCAAGAGAGACUUGGAGGAGAAUGUAGAAAUGAUGAUACAUAUCCAGGCAGAACUGAAACAGCAACAACAUCUGAACUCAGAACAGCAGACUGAGAGGGAACAUCAAGAAGCUCAACUUCAGCAACAAAUACAGCAGCUAGGAGAGGAAAAGGAAACCAUGACAGAGGAGAGGUGUCAGUUGAAGGGUGACUUGCAGGAAAAUAUGGAGAUGGCUGAAGAAACCCAGGGACUUCCCUUGGAUGGAAUGGAGGAGCUCUGACAACAGAGCCAACUGAACUCUGACCUUGAGAGCCAAAGUUUACAGAAGGAGUCUAUUCUAGAACUGCAGCUAAGCAGCUGAGAGAGGAGGUUGAAUCAUUGCAAGCUGAGAGAGAGCAUCUCCUGUCUGACAAGACCAAUAGCCCUCAGAAUCAUACAAAUUAGUUGGAGAAGCUGCUCUCCACUGUGACCUCACUGACUGAAGAGAGAGACCAGCUCCAGGAGAUGCUGGGGGGAGUCACAGAGGAGAGAAACCAGCUCAAGAGGGGCCUGGUGGAGAAUGUGGAGAUGAUGAUUGAAAACCAGGAGGAGCUGAGGGUGGCCUUAAAAAGAUUCACCAUCAAGAGGAAAAUAUUAAACAUAUGGAUAGUGCACAUCUGUUACAUCUAGUUGAACUGCAAAGUCAGGUAAAAUGUGCUUUUACUUAACAAAUUUAAUUGACAACAUCAAUGGCGCUGGAGAAGAAGGCUGAC